AGGGGGCGGAGGAAAGCGCAAAGGGAAAAGCAAGAAGUGGAAGGAGAUCCUGAAGUUCCCUCACAUCAGCCAGUGCGAAGACCUCCGGAGGACCCUAGUCAAGUGAUGCCAGGUAGGCACUCCAAAGCCGACCUCUUUGCUAAUGGACAUGAAGAUGUGCAGCCAACAUCCAUCAAGUAUUUGGUGUGUACGGGGCAGGAUUGCCUCCCAAUUACCCUUUGAGGCAAGUGCUAUUAGUUUACUCCACAUUUCAGCUGGGGAAACCGAGGCACAGAGAGAUGCUGUAAGUGACCCAAAGUUGCACAGCUUGUGGGAGGGCGGUGGAGGUGGGUCAGGCCCAGCACGGAGCCCCCACUCAGCCUUCCAGCCGUCCUCACGGGGCCCGUGGGUCCCGCCCUCAGGAAGCAGCCCCAGGCUUUGGCAGCUGUGGGUGGGGUUGAGCUCUGGGCUCCCCUUUCCUCCUGCAGGGAUGUGGUUUCUCAGCGAGGGGCUGGCCCACUUGGCAGCACAGCCCUGUCCUCUUUAUCCAGCACCCACACGGCCAGGUGCCUCUGGCAGUGACGGGUAGCGGGGGUGUCUCCCAAGGGGCUGGCCCAGCCAAACGCAGCAAAGGCCACCUGCUCCCAGGACCCCUCAGGACACAGCUGUGGUGAGGAGCCUGUGGGACUGGUGGGGGCCCUGGCCCCCUCUCCCCUCUGCCCUGGGGUGGGGCCUGCCCCCUUUCUGCAUGACGGUGUCUUAUGUGCUCUUGACUGCUGGAGGUCAAGGACAUGCCAAAUUCCCUUUUUUGUACUCAGAUCUGUUGAGCGUGGACAUAGGCUGGUGCUGUCGGCCAGCGCUGCACAGGGACUUCUGCCCGGGGUCCUGGCUGAACUGCCCUGUUCCUGCCUCGAAGUGUGAGCAGGAGCUUUUCUGAAUGGCUUCUGCCUGUGGCCUGGCCUCCACCAGCUUCCCAGGCCAGGUGGGACUCACAUGCUGUCCCAGGCCCGCUCGGUCCUCGCCCCCGGUCCCACCCUCCAGAUUCUUUGGUUGUGCCAUGACAGCAGCUGACCGCUGUUCGCUCUGUGCCCCCACCCCCAAUGCCCAGCCCGGAGGAGGAGCUGCCUUAAUUGGUGUUUAUGAGGGAAAGGAAGGCACGUGCAGCCCACGCAGGCGUAUGUGAGCAGGGAAGAGGCAGGGGGUGCUGAGGGAUGGGGAGCUGGCCUCUAACCCACCUUCCGUCCUUCAGCCUCAGGUCGGAAUCCCCAUGGUGCUCUUGGGGCCAAGGGUGGAGUGGCUAAGAGAUCAGGGCCUCUGGGGCCAGGCAGACUUGGCAUCAAAGCCCACCCUCUCCCCCAGCCACCUGCCAGGCUGCUUAAUCUGGCGGAGCUUCAGUUCUGUCAGCUGAAGGCAGUGAUCAUGGACCAGUCAAGUGAGACCAUGUGUAUAAAGGGCCUCCCUGGAGCCUGGGACCCCUCCCCUUAGCAGCCGACUUCCUUUCUGGGAGGCACGAUGGCUCCCACUUGGCUGGGCCUCUUGUGUUGUGAGGGUGCCCAUGUUCACCCUUGAUCUAGGGGCACAUGGGGCAGAGUCAGAGAGAGGACGGGCUUUUCUCCUGGGGCUGGGAGCAUGUUGGGGAGGGUUUUGCCCCUGACGACGCACAGCCAGCCUCCAAAGAGAGGAGAGGAGGGGAGGUUCCCCUGGGAUCUGGGGAGAGCUUUCCGAGGCCGUUUUGUUCUUCAUGCUCACUUAGGCCUGGAGAGAGUGGGGCCUGGGGAUGGCGAGGGGCGGGGACCUCAGAUGCUGUGGUCUCUGCACAUCCCUGGGGAUCCGACCAUCCUCUUCAUCCAGGGAGAGCACGUUUACCUGCUUCCAGAGGCCUCUGCUGGAUGCUGAGCCCAGCGUUUCCUCAGCAGGCCCUGGGAAUGGCUCCCACUCAGCUUCAGAGCCUUUGUGAGUGCUGAUUUGGAAGAGAGAGCUUGAAAUAGCAAAGGACCCUCCAAGGAGGGGGAGCUGUGCAGAGACCUGGGGUAACUGCCUGAGGGCCAGGCCCACCCAGGAGGGGCCCUGCCCAGGGAGCCCAUUUGCUCCUCCGCCUUUGGGUUAACUGCCAGCAGGUGGUGGUGCCAGGCGUGCUCCGCGGGCACAGCUAGGUCUAAAGGCCACUUCCUCAGAGAAUUUAAAUUAGCUUCCGGCCAGAGUCUUUCAAAACAUCCUGUCCCCUUCCGUCAGAGCACCCUGCACCCCGCCCCAGCUAUUAUUGGAUGUCUCUUUGCCACUCGAGUGUAAAAGUCUCUUCGGGAAGGAUCUUUUAAAUUGACGCUGUGUCCCUAGGGCCUGCUCACAGGAAGUGCACAACGGAUGAGUGAGUGCAGAGAAAAUGAAUGAAGCAGUGUGUGUGAGGGAACUCUGAACUUCUGCAGUGUUUUAAAUAAAUGGAAGAGUGUUGAGAGUCAUGCAGGGAGCAUUCAUGUAUCUGCCACCUGGAUUAAAGAAAUUUUAAUAUUUUGCUGUAUUUGAUUUAUAUGUUUCUUAAAAAUGGAAACCACGGGGCACAGUGGGUUAAGGAUUUGACUGCAGGAAUUCCUGCUCAGCGGUAAUGAAUCCAACAAGUAUCCAUGAGGACGUGGGUUUGAUCUCUGGCCUCACUCAGUGGGUUAAGGAUCUGGCAUUGCUGUGAGCUGUGGUGUAGGUUGCAGACAUGGCUGGUAUUCUUUGUUGCUGUGGCUGUGGUGUAGGCUGGCAGCUGCAGCUCUAAUUUGAUCCUUAGCCUGGGAACUUCCAUAUGCUG
ensembl:lncRNA